AGAGUUUGAUCAUGGCUCAGGAUGAACGCUAGCUACAGGCUUAACACAUGCAAGUCGAGGGGCAGCAUUGGGAUAGCUUGCUAUUCCAGAUGGCGACCGGCGCACGGGUGAGUAACGCGUAUCCAACCUUCCCCAUAGUAGGGCACAGCCCGGCGAAAGUCGGAUUAAUUCCCUAUGCAGUCCAGAGAGGACAUCUGACCUGGACGAAAGAUUCAUCGCUAUGGGAUGGGGAUGCGUCUGAUUAGGUUGCAGGCGGGGUAACGGCCCACCUGGCCGACGAUCAGUAGGGGUUCUGAGAGGAAGGUCCCCCACAUUGGAACUGAGACACGGUCCAAACUCCUACGGGAGGCAGCAGUGAGGAAUAUUGGUCAAUGGACGGAAGUCUGAACCAGCCAAGUAGCGUGCAGGAAGACGGCCCUAUGGGUUGUAAACUGCUUUUAUCAGGGGAUAAAGUGAGGUAUGUAUACCUUUUUGCAUGUACCUGAUGAAUAAGGACCGGCUAAUUCCGUGCCAGCAGCCGCGGUAAUACGGAAGGUCCGGGCGUUAUCCGGAUUUAUUGGGUUUAAAGGGAGCGCAGGCGGACAGUUAAGCGUGACGUGAAAUGCAGCGGCUCAACCGUAUGAAGUGCGUCGCGAACUGGCAGUCUUGAGUGAGUACGAUGUAGGCGGAAUUCGUGGUGUAGCGGUGAAAUGCUUAGAUAUCACGAAGAACUCCGAUUGCGAAGGCAGCCUACAAGUCCUUUACUGACGCUAAAGCUCGAASGUGCGGGUAUCGAACAGGAUUAGAUACCCUGGUAGUCCGCACGGUAAACGAUGGAUGCCCGCUGUUUGCGAUAUAGUGUGAGCGGCCAAGCGAAAGCGUUAAGCAUCCCGCCUGGGGAGUACGCCGGCAACGGUGAAACUCAAAGGAAUUGACGGGGGCCCGCACAAGCGGAGGAACAUGUGGUUUAAUUCGAUGAUACGCGAGGAACCUUACCCGGGCUCAAACGCGCAGAGACAGUUGCGGAAACGCAAUCUCCCCUCGGGGCCCUGUGCGAGGUGCUGCAUGGUUGUCGUCAGCUCGUGCCGUGAGGUGUCGGCUUAAGUGCCAUAACGAGCGCAACCCCCAUCUUCAGUUGCCACCGUGUGAUGGCGGGCACUCUGGAGAGACUGCCGGCGCAAGCUGUGAGGAAGGCGGGGAUGACGUCAAAUCAGCACGGCCCUUACGUCCGGGGCGACACACGUGUUACAAUGGCGGGGCACAGAAGGAAGCCAGGCGGCGACGCCGAGCGGAUCCCGAAAACCCGUCUCAGUUCGGAUCGGAGUCUGCAACCCGACUCCGUGAAGCUGGAUUCGCUAGUAAUCGCGCAUCAGCCAUGGCGCGGUAAAUACGUUCCCGGGCCUUGUACACACCGCCCGUCAAGCCAUGGAAGCUUGGAGUGCCUGAAGUCCGUGACCGCAAGGAGCGGCCAAGGGUAAGACAAGUGACUGGGGCUAAGUCGUAACAAGGUAGCCGUA
rnacentral:rRNA from 1 species